CGAAGAGUAAAAAAAAACCCCUUGCCUAAUUUUGACGGUAACGGGGAGGGGGGCUUCGGAGAAAGUCCGCGAAAUAAGAAAGAAAGCAUCCGUCCUCCUAUAUAAAAGCGUGCACCGAACGCAACAGUUCACCAAUAGUUCUACCAACUUCAGCAGGUGAUACCUCAUAGCAGCCAGCAAGAUGAACAAGUGCAGCGCAAUCCUCGCCCUCGCCCUCGUGGUUGUCCUUUGCCUCGUCGCUGUUGAGGCUCAGUUUGGCUACGGCCGUGGCUUCGGUGGUGGGUACGGCCGUGGCUUCGGUGGUGGAUACGGCCGUGGCUUCGGCGGUGGAUUCGGCCGUGGCUUCGGUGGUGGAUACGGCCGCGGCUUCGGUGGUGGAUACGGCCGUGGCUUUGGCGGAUACGGUGGAUACGGCCGUGGAUUCUACGGCUAAAUGCUCAAGCUUCCCACUAUAGGUUUCACUUCAUGCCUCUCCUGUGCUACCAAAGUUACCGAAGCAGCGCCAAAUCACCGUAGAAGCUACCUGAAAGAAUCGAAUUACGUCAUCAAUGGUGCCUCUGUGACACCGCUCACGAACAGGGUUUUUUGUAAUAAAGUGCAAUGUGUGAUAAGUUA